UGGGGAAUUUUGGACAAUGGGCGAAAGCCUGAUCCAGCAAUGCCGCGUGUGUGAAGAAGGCCUUCGGGUUGUAAAGCACUUUUGUCCGGAAAGAAAUCCUUGGCUCUAAUACAGUCGGGGGAUGACGGUACCGGAAGAAUAAGCACCGGCUAACUACGUGCCAGCAGCCGCGGUAAUACGUAGGGUGCAAGCGUUAAUCGGAAUUACUGGGCGUAAAGCGUGCGCAGGCGGUUUGCUAAGACCGAUGUGAAAUCCCCGGGCUCAACCUGGGAACUGCAUUGGUGACUGGCAGGCUAGAGUAUGGCAGAGGGGGGUAGAAUUCCACGUGUAGCAGUGAAAUGCGUGGAGAUGUGGAGGAAUACCGAUGGCGAAGGCAGCCCCCUGGGCCAAUACUGACGCUCAUGCACGAAAGCGUGGGGAGCAAACAGGAUUAGAUACCCUGGUAGUCCACGCCCUAAACGAUGUCAACUAGUUGUUGGGGAUUCAUUUCCUUAGUAACGUAGCUAACGCGUGAAGUUGACCGCCUGGGGAGUACGGUCGCAAGAUUAAAACUCAAAUGAAUUGACGGGGUCAUAGCUGUUUCCU
rnacentral:rRNA from 1 species